CCCGCCACUGUGCCUAAUCACUAAUAACGUUGGUGGGCACAAUCCAGUGGUGAGCUGAUAUAAAACCCCAGCUUAGGAAACAGGGUUAUUCUGCUUGUGGAUGACUCUGUGCCGAAAGCAUGGGAACAACC